rnacentral:lncRNA from 1 species
AUUCGGCUGUGGGGUGGGGCUGAGCUGGGCUCCUCCCCUCCCCAGACCCCAUUUAAGGGCUGGGAAGUGAAGGGGGCAGCAUCUGAACUUGGGAGUGCUUCCUUGAGGGUCUGAGUUUGCAACUCGAUGGGGUUUAAAGAUCGUUGGCACUCCUCUAAUCGGUGGUGUGAGGCCUGUGGAGCUGGUGGCAGCAGAGAGCUGCAGCACUCCCGGGUUCUGUAACGACUGCACGGAGAGAUGUGCGGGUCUUCACGGGAACAGCAAGGAACCGAAAGCUGCAUUUCCUGGGAUGCCCUGGAACCCCACUUUGCUGACUGGUAAUUGUCUGCCCAGCAGGUGGCAGCAGAGAGCUGCAGCACUCCCGGGUUCUGUAACGACUGCACGGAGAGAUGUGCGGGUCUUCACGGGA